rnacentral:rRNA from 1 species
UCAAUUAAAGCGGAGGAAAAGAAACCAACAGGGAUUGCCCUAGUAACGGCGAGUGAAGCGGCAACAGCUCAAAUUUGAAAUCUGGCCUCGGCCCGAGUUGUAAUUUGCAGAGGAUGCUUCUGGCGCGGUGCCUUCCGAGUUCCCUGGAACGGGACGCCACAGAGGGUGAGAGCCCCGUAUGGUCGGACACCAAGCCUGUGUGAAGCUCCUUCGACGAGUCGAGUAGUUUGGGAAUGCUGCUCUAAAUGGGAGGUAAAUCUCUUCUAAAGCUAAAUACCGGCCAGAGACCGAUAGCGCACAAGUAGAGUGAUCGAAAGAUGAAAAGCACCUUGAAAAGGGGGUUAAAUAGUACGUGAAAUUGUUGAAAGGGAAGCACUUAUGACCAGACUUGGGCCGGGCGGCUCAUCAGGGGUUCUCCCCUGUGCACUCCGCCCGGCACAGGCCAGCAUCGGUUCUCGUGGGGGGAUAAGACCGUCAGGAACGUAGCACCCUCCGGGGUGUGUUAUAGCCUGGCGGACGAUACCCCCGUGGGGACCGAGGUCCGCGCUCCGCAAGGAUGCUGGCGUAAUGGUCAUCAGUGACCCGUCUGGAAAACACGGACCAA